rnacentral:rRNA from 1 species
ACCCGCUGAACUUAAGCAUAUCAAUAAGCGGAGGAAAAGAAACUAACAAGGAUUCCCCUAGUAACUGCGAGUGAAGCGGGAAAAGCUCAAAUUUAAAAUCUGGCGGUUUCACCGUCCGAGUUGUAAUCUAGAGAAGUGUUUUCCGCGCUGGACCGUGUACAAGUCUCUUGGAAUAGAGCGUCAUAGAGGGUGAGAAUCCCGUCUUUGACACGGACUACCAGUGCUUUUGUGAUGCGCUCUCAACGAGUCGAGUUGUUUGGGAAUGCAGCUCAAAAUGGGUGGUAAAUUCCAUCUAAAGCUAAAUAUUGGGGAGAGACCGAUAGCGAACAAGUACCGUGAGGGAAAGAUGAAAAGAACUUUGGAAAGAGAGUUAAACAGUACGUGAAAUUGUUGAAAGGGAAACGCUUGAAGUCAGUCGCGUUCUUCGAGACUCAGCCUUGCUUCUGCUUGGUGUAUUUCUCGUUGAACGGGUCAACAUCAGUUUUGACCGUUGGAAAAAGAUUAGAGGAAUGUGGCUCUCUCGGGAGUGUUAUAGCCUCUGGUUGUAUACAACGGUUGGGACUGAGGAACUCAGCACGCCGCAAGGCCGGGGUUUUACCCACGUACGUGCUUAGGAUGUUGGCAUAAUGGCUUUAAUCGACCCGUCUUGAAACACGG